UAUUGUGGGAUUUUGGUUCUUUGUUUCCCUCUAUUUCACAUGUUCUCUUGCCCUUCUGCCUUUUGCUAUGGAAUUAUUUAAUCCGGACUCUCAUUUCUUUAUGGCACUAUACAACCCCACUCCCACAUUCCACCCACCCCUGUAUAACUGCCCAGAAUAGUCUACUAUGUCCUCUGGAACUCAUGGUUUAUCAUCAGCAAAAUCUAUAAUCUCAAUCUCAACUCUGAACCUCCCUUCCACAAGUUUACUGUAAUUGACAACUAGAUAUCCUUUGAAAAGUUUCCCCUACAUUCAAAAGGUUGGUUUUCUUUUUUGUUUUUUUGAGAUGGAGUCUCGCUCUGUUGCCCAGCCUGGAGGGAAGUGGCAUGAUCGCAGCUCACUGAAACCUCCAUCUCCUAGGUUCAAGCAAUUCUUCUGUCUCAGCCUCCUGAGUAGCUGGGACUACAGACUAUUAUCCAAUGCCUCUGUCAUCAUGUUGCACCAACACUGGAAAUUCAGGUGCCCUGGCAUAGAUCUAAAAUGUAUUUUUGAGUUUAAAUAUGCCCCUUAACUUCUCUUAGGUGAGCCU
rnacentral:lncRNA from 1 species